rnacentral:rRNA from 1 species
GUAGGUGGCAAGCGUUGUCCGGAAUUAUUGGGCGUAAAGCGCGCGCAGGUGGUUCUUUAAGUCUGAUGUGAAAGCCCCCGGCUCAACCGGGGAGGGUCAUUGGAAACUGGGGAACUUGAGUGCAGGAGAGGAAAGUGGAAUUCCACGUGUAGCGGUGAAAUGCGUAGAUAUGUGGAGGAACACCAGUGGCGAAGGCGACUUUCUGGCCUGUAACUGACACUGAGGCGCGAAAGCGUGGGGAGCAAACAGGAUUAGAUACCCUGGUAGUCCACGCCGUAUACGAUGAGUGCUAAGUGUUGGGGGGGUUUCCCGCCCCUCAGUGCUGCAGCUAACGCAUUAAGCACUCCGCCUGGGGAGUACGGUCGCAAGACUG